rnacentral:rRNA from 1 species
GACGAACCGAGCGAACGUUGUUCGGAAUCACUGGGCUUAAAGGGUGCGUAGGCGGGCUGCCAAGUUUGAGGUGAAAUCCCUCCGCUCAACGGGGAAGUGCCUUGAAUACUGGCGGUCUGGAGGGAGGUAGGGGCGUGCGGAACUAACGGUGGAGCGGUGAAAUGCGUUGAUAUCGUUAGGAACUCCGGUGGCGAAGGCGGCACGCUAGACCUCUUCUGACGCUGAGGCACGAAAGCCAGGGGAGCGAACGGGG